rnacentral:tRNA from 1 species
GGUGGGCUGGCCGGGCUGGCCACCGCGCUGCGGCUACAGGCUGCGGGACUGUCCACGAUCGUGUUCGAGGCGCACGGGCACGCCG